UGCCAGCAGCCGCGGUAAUACGGAGGUCCCAAGCGUUGUUCGGAUUUACUGGGCGUAAAGGGUGCGUAGGUGGCCAGGAAAGUUUGAUGUGAAAGCUCCGAGCUCAACUCGGAAAAUGCAUUGAAUACUACUUGGCUUGAGGAUCGGAGGGGAGACUGGAAUUCUCGGUGUAGCAGUGAAAUGCGUAGAUAUCGAGAGGAACACCAGUGGCGAAGGCGAGUCUCUGGACGAUUCCUGACACUGAGGCACGAAAGCUAGGGGAGCAAACAGGAUUAGAUA
rnacentral:rRNA from 1 species